UGGCGUCCAAUGUUGAGGCUCAAGAACGUGGACAAUCAGUGAACGUCGCAUACCAAGGCAGGUCUGCCUAUCAUUUGGUCCACCGUGGAGAACGCUCUGCAAGCGAAGGUCCGUGGGGACGCCCGACCUUGAGACAGGUCUGGAGAGUUGAUUUGUGCCAACGCAAGGUAAGUUUACCAUGGGACAAGCAUUUAGUAAGCAGGAUUUAUUUAUCUCAGGACUUAAAUAGUCUCUCAAGACACAAGGAACAAGGGUAAAAAAGAAAGAUUUUAAAAAGUUUCUUGAUUAUAUUGGGGACCUUUGCCCCU
rfam:Neotoma lepida isolate 417 scaffold_19443, whole genome shotgun sequence.